UUUGAUGCAUUCCGGUGUACGGGGGUAAUGGGCAGCCUAUUGGAGCAUGGCAGACCACCUGAGAGUUGUUUUCUGGACUCUGGAAGGUCACCUGACACCAGUGCUCUGGAGAAGGUGCACCGCACUGGAUUUCAUCUGUGGUCAGGAAAGUCUCUCGAGGUCCCCCUCCAGGACAAUGAUGUAUUUAAGUCCCCUAAGAGGUCAGAUGGUCUCUGCCCAGAACAUCACCUGCAAUCAAUAGUGUUGGUAAACCAGGCUCAACUGAGUGUCCAUGAAGACUCCCCUUAUAAACACACUCACAGAGAGGCCGGCAUGGCCCAUUGCUUUGCUAAAACCGCAACCAACAUUCUGACACACACAUACACACACACACACAACACAUGCCACCAACAAGUGUUGAUGACAAAGAGAAGAAAAAUAACAGCACCUCAGCGCUAAACCCUUUGCAUUUAUCUUCACUCUAUCAUAGCAAAGGCUGCACAUUCUCCUUAAUGCACAGGUGAAUUGGGUGCACUGCUUCAAUCAAGGCUUCACCAUUGGGUUUGAGAGUCAUCUGAGCCCAGACAACAAAAGCAAACGCUACAGUGAGUGUCUCUACUGUAAGUGGCUUUUGAAGAAUUGGCACAGUCAUCUGGCGAACACCUCACAUCUCUCACAAACAAAUGAAGGCCUGGCGCUUCAAAGUGAGAUUGAUAUCUCUCUCUGAACUUCAACCAGAAUAUUCUGAAUAUUGAGAGAGGUGCACUCCUCCCACGGGACUGCCAAGGCGCCUCUCUCCUCCCUCGUUCCGCCAAAGAGGGGGAAAAAGAUUACCCUUGUAGAUCUUCCAUGUUCAUCAAUAUUCACUUAUAUAUUGUGAGCCAUGGCAGCUGAAAUUUGGCCUAGUAUUGCUGAAUGGAUGACCCAGGGAUCCACUUUGUUGCCAUGAGGUUGUCUGCAAUAUUGAAAUAUAGGGUUAAAACAGAACAAUAAACAAUUUUAUGAACUUCAGACUCAUCUAUAUAUUUAAUGUGACAGAAAACUUCUCAAUUUGCUCUGCAAGUUCUUAAGAGUAGCCAUCCCUUUAAUAAGCCUAGAAUAGAUCUACUUUGUUCUGGUUUAUAACUGUUUGCCAAAUAUUAAAUUGCUUCUUUUUUUACUUGGAAAUAUUUUUCAAAUAAAAUGAAGGAAACUACUGCUAAAGAAAGGUGCCAUGAAUCAGUAUGUAUUGCUGAGCUCGCGCACAGUAUUUAAGAUGCAUAUAUCAAAAUGUACAGAAUUAUUGUUAUCAAACUGAACUUGCAAAAAGUAAAAAUGUCUUAAAUGUCUUUGCAGUUGCAAUGUGCACACAGAGAAUGCAAUAUGUGUUAUGUAACAUGUUAUGUACCAUGACAACACAAAUGAUUCAGAUUUUUUUUUCAUUAUGGAAAUGAUUAAAAACCAAACUUCGUUUUUCUUUUUCCUUUUUUUCUUAUUUCAGUUUACUAAAACAUCCACUAGGAAAAUCUAUUUUACUACAAGCAGAAUGCACUGACAAUCGGGUUUGCGCUUCUGUUAGUAUAUCCACAGCUAUAUGUCUCUAUUAGUUCAUCUUUCCGAGAACUCCUUAGUAGUCAAAUGAAGAGGCAAACACAAAUGAUGAUGGUGAUGGUCAUGACAUACAUCGCUGAACCACUUUGAGAGGAAUACCUCAAGGUGAGAAAAUCUUUUUAUUUAGAAUUUUUCCUGCUCCAUUUGUUUCCACUACAAACCUGUAAAAACAAUCAUAUGUGAACAAUAUCCCAGAUAACAAAAAUAUGUUAUAAAUAUGUUCCUUUUAAUAACAUUCCCAUUAAGUUACAAAAACAUUAUUUCUGAAUGUUCUCUUAACGAUCAAAAUGUUCAGUUUAUUAAACAUUAAAAACAACAUUAAAAACAUAAUUUUUUUUUUUUUUUUUUGCCAUGCAAACGUAAAGGAAAGGUUCGAUUCAUUUUGCAAACAUUAUGGAAACAUUACUUUUGAAUGUUACCCAAACAUUCUAAAACAAAUAGUGAAUACAGUAGUAACAUUUACAAAAUGUUAGACUAACAUCCAACUAAAACGAAAAAAAAAAGAUAAUUUCAAGAAUGAUGUAUACAUAUAUAUUUAACCUUUUGUUAACAUUUAAUAUUACUUAUAAAUAAAUUAUAAAAUAAAUAUAUACUUUAAAUACAUUUUCUAUAAAUUUUACUUGGAAGAAAAUUUGUUCAACACUUUGAGAGAAUCUUGACAGAACAUUGGCCAAGGUUGUGAGAAUGUUCACUGUUGGAUACAGGACUACUGUAAAAUAAGAGUAUACUGCAAAAUAGUACUUAUUAAAUUAGUAUUAAUAUUGUCCAUCAUACAAAUCCCAACUCCAGGUAAACCACAACAUUUUAAUUUACAGGUGAAUUUUCAUGUGGAAAUCACUAUGCAGUCACUAUGAAAUGUGACUGCAAUCUCUACAUGCAUGCAUGUUACAAUCUUCGUAACGCUCCAUAAUGAUCUCCCCUCAGAGGUAAAUCAAUAAUUGUAGAGCUACAAAAGAGUGUUUUAUCCUAAAAUGGUAAUUAGCAUGGGUCUUGACCUCCCUCAUGGCAUCUCUCAGUCGCCCAUCUGAGAGCCAGGGCAUGUCCAGAGCUGACACUUAAUGACGCUAACAUUACACACUCGCUGAACAUUGUCGGGCUUUUGUCUUCAUUCACAUCGAAAUGAAGUUCUUGGGGCCCACGUUUAUCAAUCAUGGUGGGGCUCCAGCUGUUCGCCAGUCUUUGGCCUGACUUCAACAGCCGUGCUUACAAAUUGUCUCUGAAUAGUGUGGAGCUCUGCCUCCCCACCUUUCCACCCCCUUUUUGUCACUGUCUCCUGACAAAUGUUCCACUGCAGCUUUUCCCAGACAUGGCCGACCCUACCUUCUGCUCCUCGCCAUUCAGAGGGGGGUUCUGGCCUCAUGUUCCUCUCACAAGAUGAGCAUGGUAAUCUGCAGUGGUAGCCAUUCAGACUAUUACUUAAAUGCGUAAUGUUGUAGUGUUGAGGAAUAAUUUUUGUACUGGUAUCAUGAAUAACACUGAAAGAGGGCAUAAAAAGCUACAUCGGAUGGAGAUACUCAAAAUGAAGUAUUCAUAACAGCCCUCUGAUGCAUUCAUUAUGAACUGCUUGAUAAGAUGUGUUUAUGAGCUCUCUUUACUACUUUCUAGAUCUCCUACUACCUGACGUCCAUCAAACAUUGCUCUUGAGUUCAGCCGGCAAAACUUAAAACUAAAAAUCAACAUGGAUGAAGAGAUGCGGCUGCCACAGAGGGAUGAAUGACUGAUACUGUUUCUCUUUCACUGUGCUUUGAAAAGUAAAAUAAUUAAGAUAGAUGGGCAGAUGAAUUAGUUGUCUUCCAAGGUCAAACGCUGAUUGCCUUAUUACUCUAUUACUACACUGUUGUGAAACUGUUACCGCUGACACUUUUUCAUGAUAUUCUUUACAUCCACAAAAGAGAAGGAAUGAGUGAAGGAGUGAGAGAGAUACAAAUUGAUUGUUUGGUGGCCAAAUCAGUCAUAGUCAUCUUGGGUGGAAGGAUUAAUGGGUCUGAUGGCUGUUGCAGGUUCAGGCAGGGAGACGGGCAGAAAACAAGAGAAAUUGGUUUGGGCCCCUGGGAGCUGAAUCGAUGUGAGUAGCAUGUAAGCAGUGCACUGUUGUUUUGUGUGUGUGGAAUGAGAGAGAGAGAGAGAGAGAUAUAAGGCUAUGACAUAUUUGUUUUUUAAUAAACGAAUACAAUUCUGCUAUAGUAUAACACAGAAAAUAUUAUUUUGGGCAUAAUUGGCAAAAAAAAAUAUUUCCUUGUCUCUUUUUGUAAAAAUAAAUCUAU